UACGGGGGGGGGUAAGCGUUGUUCGGAAUUACUGGGCGUAAAGGGCUCGUAGGCGGCCAACUAAGUCAGACGUGAAAUCCCUCAGCUUAACUGGGGAACUGCGUCUGAUACUGGAUGGCUUGGAUUUGGGAGAGGGAUGCGGAAUUCCAGGUGUAGCGGUGAAAUGCGUAGAUAUCUGGAGGAACACCGGUGGCGAAGGCGGCCUUCUGGACAGUGACUGACGCUGAGACGCGAAAGCGUGGGGAGCAAACAGG
rnacentral:rRNA from 1 species